AAGAGUGGGGAUAACCUGGGGAAACUCGGGCUAAUACCGCAUACGCUCGGUGGGGCUUCGGCCUGCGCAGAAAGGUGGCCUAUGCUUGCAAGCCACCGCUCCUGGGAGGGGUCCGCGUCUGAUUAGCUAGUUGGCGGGGUAAUGGCCCACAAGGCGACGACCAGUAGCCGGCCUGAGAGGGUGAUCGGCCACACUGGAACUGAGACACGGUCCAGACUCCUACGGGAGGCAGCAGGUGGGGAAUAUUGGACAAGUGGGGGAAACCCUGAUCCAGCAACGCCGCGUGGAGGAUGAAGGUCUUCGGAUUGUAAACUCCUGUUAGGGGGGACGAAGGGAUGUCGGCAAACAGCCGGCAAACUUGACGGUACCCCCAGAGGAAGCCCCGGCUAACUCUGUG
rnacentral:rRNA from 1 species